CAAAAGCACAUUUGUAAUUACUUAUGAACUUUUUCUACUUAUUUCUUUAAACCAAAUCCCCUGUACACAUAUAGUGACUCAGAGGAUGAGCAGCCCACAAAAAAACGGUUUCCCCAGGCACCUCGAGUGAAAAUACCAGCCCUCACCACUCCGCAGUCUUCCCCCCAGCCCACUGACAGCAGGCAUCAUAAUGCCCCUCCCAGCUUCCGGUACCUUUCGCCACUCCGGCAGAACACUCCAAACGACACAGCUUUGCAAUCUCCCCAGCAUGCAGAGUCUGAUGUCAGGCGUUCCCUAUAGAUGAUUCCAGAGACUCUGUGAGGCCACUAUUACAAGGCAAGUUCGAAC